AAUUGUUAGCUCAAUAAUGAUCCUUCCGCAGUAUA
rnacentral:rRNA from 1 species